rnacentral:rRNA from 1 species
UACAGAGGUCUCAAGCGUUGUUUCGGGAUUCAUUGGGCGUAAAGGGUGCGUAGGCGGCGCGGUAAGUCGGGGUGUGAAAUCAUCGGAGCUUAACUCCGAAAACUGCAUUCGAUACUGCCGUGCUUGAGGACUGGAGAGGAGACUGGAAUUUACGGUGUAGCGGUGAAAUGCGUAGAUAUCGUAAGGAAGACCAGUGGCGAAGGCGGGUCUCUGGACAGUUCCUGACGCUGAGGCACGGAAGGUCAGGGGAGCAAACGGGG